rnacentral:rRNA from 1 species
AGUGAACGCUGGCGGUAGGCCUAACACAUGCAAGUCGAACGGCAGCACAGUAAGAGCUUGCUCUUACGGGUGGCGAGUGGCGGACGGGUGGGGAAUACAUCGGAAUCUACUUUUUCGUGGGGGAUAACGUAGGGAAACUUACGCUAAUACCGCAUACGACCUCCGGGUGAAAGCAGGGGAUCUUCGGACCUUGCGCGAUUGAAUGAGCCGAUGUCGGAUUAGCUAGUUGGCGGGGUAAAGGCCCACCAAGGCGACGAUCCGUAGCUGGUCUGAGAGGAAGAUCAGCCACACGGGAAGUGAGACAGGGUCGAGACUCCUGCGGUAAGCAGCAGUGCGGAAUAUUGGGCGAUGGAGGCGAGCCUGAUCCAGCCAUACCGCGGGGGUGAAGAAGGAGUUCGGGUUGGAAAGCCCUUUUGUUGGGAGAGAAAAGCAGCAGGUUAAUACCCCGCUGUUCUGACGGUACCCAAAGAAUAAGCACCGGCUAACUUCGUG